rnacentral:sRNA from 1 species
UCCUCGCGACCCCGUGCCUCGCGGCAGCG